AGCUGUGUCAGCAUGCUUGUCCCUAUCCUAUAACUGUUGGAGUCUGGCUUGAGAAUCCAGUGAGCUGACUGAUAUGGCUGGUUCGACACCUGCAGAAUCAAGUUUGUUCUAUAUGCGUUGGGCAAGAAACCUGGUGGUUCCAUGAGUACAAACAAAAGUCUACCUCAAGUGAAAGAACCAUCCAGGUCAAAGGAGAGAAGAUGGGCCAGGCCUGGGCUCUUCAUCAACGUAUUUGUUUUGGUAUGUAAUGCUUGUCCUGCAGGCUGUGUAAUGGCUCUAAUAAAAUGUCUUUCUAACUGUA